rnacentral:lncRNA from 1 species
UCCCUGUGUACCAAUCUUUGAAUAAGAGAUAUAACCAUGCGAAAGAUGGGGGAAAUGCCACACUAUCAGGUUCGCUAACUAGCAAUGCGAACGAUCGACAGCUUGUUACAAAGACAUCUGAAUAUUGCUACUCAAUACAGAGAGGUAAAGAUGAUGAAUCUACCCUAUCUGAAACCGUAUGUUUUUUUACUCACAACCUCCAUCAGUGUGAUUAAAAUUUUGGCACUUAAGUAUAAACAUGUUCACCUGCGAUGGUUGAGAGGAAAUACCAGCGUUUUGUACACGCAAUUCCUCUUGCAGAGAAACACUCAGCUUGCCUCGCUCCACGGGAAUGCGGGCCAUAACGUUAACUAAUUGGUCUAAUAACUUCUUGUCUUCAUCGUGCGUCGAGUUCCGAGUGAACCAUAACGCCAACGUGAUCCGCUCCCCAUCUGUAACCUAUUCCGAGUACCCGUACAAGUUGGAACCGUUUACGUACUUAUAUAGUUGGACACAAAGCAGAAGUAGGAUAAUACUAGUACAGGAAUUUUUGCAACUAACCUCAUUAACACAGUGCACAUUCUCCUUGUUAGCGGAGUAGAUCAAGACGGUCUGGACAUGAACACAACCGUAAGGCACUUAGCGAAUCAAACUGUUAUUAAAGCUUCAAAAAAUCCGGGGAAUGGGAAAUGUCACUGAAUCACUCUCCGACACGAGAUCAGAAGAAACAUGAACAGCGUAAGUGAAUCAAACCGCAAUGACUUCUCAACUUCUCAAUGCAACGAUUUCUUACCCCCAUAGUUGGAACCACCGUCGCUGGUUCGCCAUCUUGAAAAUGGAAUAGGCCGCCAUGGAAGUCUUGUUCGUAAGUGUUCAAGUAGCAGACGGCCUGCGCAUGAUUGACUAGAAGGAUUGUUGAGACCAUUCCUAAAAAUAAACACUGUUGGUCGAAUUGGUUUCAAGUUGUUGGACCUCUAUGAACUGAAACAGACCGAGAAAUGCCGCUGUCGCAAAUAAUCUCGAUUGUCGUCGCUGUGCCAUCCUAUGUUUGCACCCCUUCUCCAGCUGCAUCCCCAUUUUCCUGUUAUUAGAUGUAACAUAAUUAAACCAAUUCACUCUGUACGAAAGUCACUAAAAGAGUAACAGUGAAACACGAUUCUUGGAUUUACUCCUGGACUACGAUGUGUGUUGAAAUAGCCAAAGUGCGUAUUAUGAUUGCAAAUUACACAGAUGCAACAAACGAUUGUCAUCAGGAAUUUGUUUUUUAAUAUAUUCAAUCAUAUUAUAAUCCAAAUUCCUUCAUCUUUAACAGCGGACGAGUUUCAAUGACUGACAAAAAGAUGUCAAAAUUUGCAAAUGGUAGACAGAACUGACCUAAUCAGACCAGUGAACUCAACGAAGAGCUCGAACUCACAUCCGAAAAACUCUUCAACGGCCUCCUUCACCCUCUCUGAGAUCGGCAACCAACAGAGGAACACCAAGCCGAUAAGAGCUAGGCAUG